rnacentral:rRNA from 1 species
AGUAAUGUAUGGGGAUCUGCCUGAUGGCGGUGGAUAACUACUGGAAACGGUAGCUAUACCGCAUAAUGUCUGCGGACCAAAGCGGGGGACCGUCCGGGCCUCGCGCCAUCAGAUGAACCCAUAUGGGAUUAGCUAGUAGGUAAGGUAACGGCUUACCUAGGCGACGAUCCCUAGCUGGUCUGAGAGGAUGAUCAGCCACACUGGGACUGAGACACGGCCCAG